rnacentral:lncRNA from 1 species
AGGAUGGCAAAGUUGGUGAGCUCCAUGUUCAUCGGAAAACUGUCUGGCCACCACACAAAUAAUGCUUGCCUGUGUGUUCACAUCUUCAUUCAUACACAGAAAAGAUGAGUCAUCUUUGAUGACAUACUCCUGGAAUACCAAAACAUUGUAGGCCAAGGCAGUAGGCACAUGCUAUAAGGCUAGCCUUGGCCUUAACAAGAUCCUGUCUCAAAAGAGCAUAGAAGCAAGAUGUAUUUUAGAAUUUUUCCAAGAAUUAAGUACUAUGAUUUAUUAUUGGCAAAAACUUUAUAAUAAUUUGUGCUGUAUGUGAAUUAUGUAACAUUUUAAGUAUACUAAGUCUAGGACCUGAAGAGAUGGCGCAGAGGUUAAAAGCACACACUGCUCUUGUAUGUCCAGCAGCAACCCCAUCAGGUAGCUUCAGUGGAUCUAAAGUCUCUGCCUUCUUAGGCAGUGCACUGACAUUGUACAGACGUGUGUGUACUCAAUCAUGCAUAGUGAGUAAAGUAGAUGUGAAACACAUGAUCUAAUAAAGUCAAAUGUUUACUAAGUAUAUCAUUACCACCAAAUAAACCUUCCAUCCAACUGUAGUCCAAUAUUUAACAUGAACUUUUGUUUUGUCUCAUGCCAUAUGUAUUUUAAGAUAUGCCUCUGUUUAUAAUGUGCAAUAAAUAGGAGACUUUCCCCGUCUUCAUACUUUCUCCAGUCCCAGCAGACAUACUUCAUCCUACAUCUGACAGAAACUUCAGAAUUCAUCUAUUUCAAUUUGUGUUGCUAUCAUCAUAAAAAUGAGGCCUUGAAACUAGCUUGUUCAUAUUUACACUACCCAGAUAUAUUUUUUACUCAAUUCUGAAUUUUAUCAGCUGGUGGGCAGUUAGCAAUUACUUCUCAGAUCCAAAAUCACAUAUUCUAUAUCUAUGC